rnacentral:tRNA from 1 species
UGGAGUAUAAGUUAAUUAGACUGUAAGUCUUCAGAACUUAAUGUAGGGAUAUAAAUUCCUUUACUCCAA